rnacentral:rRNA from 1 species
GACGAACGCUGGCGGCGUGCUUAACACAUGCAAGUCGAACGGAAAGGCCCUGCUUUUGUGGGGUGCUCGAGUGGCGAACGGGUGAGUAACACGUGAGUAACCUGCCCUUGACUUUGGGAUAACUUCAGGAAACUGGGGCUAAUACCUGAUAGGAGCUCCUGCUGCAUGGUGGGGGUUGGAAAGUUUCGGCGGUUGGGGAUGGACUCGCGGCUUAUCAGCUUGUUGGUGGGGUAGUGGCUUACCAAGGCUUUGACGGGUAGCCGGCCUGAGAGGGUGACCGGCCACAUUGGGACUGAGAUACGGCCCAGACUCCUACGGGAGGCAGCAGUGGGGAAUAUUGCACAAUGGGCGGAAGCCUGAUGCAGCAACGCCGCGUGCGGGAUGACGGCCUUCGGGUUGUAAACCGCUUUCGCCUGUGACGAAGCGUGAGUGACGGUAAUGGGUAAAGAAGCGCCGGCUAACUACGUG